UUAUUUUAUUUUUAUGUCACCAUAGUGAAUGUACUUAUGGGUUUCAUGCCACUCGUAUACUCACAUGGGGCUUUAACAUUUUUUUUAGGAUAGUAUGAACAUAAUUAACUAAGUGAACUAUUUAAAAUAAUUGAAAGGGAAAUGAUAACUACCAAGUUUACCUCUUGGCAAGGCGUUCGGUGUUUUUAAGUCCUCCGAACGGGACUCUCCGUUUUCUUCAGUUCUCCUGGGGUUCGUUGGGUGGCGUAGUCGGUGCUUCUGGCGGCGCCUCUUCUUCGUGUAUAGUUAUCUUCUCUCUCCACACCUGACUCGGUGCUACGGUCUUCUCAGGAUAAUUCUGUUUAAACUGUAUGUCCUCAGAUCUUAUCACUUCUCCUUCAUAGUCUGCCCAUCCGUCCUUG
rnacentral:lncRNA from 1 species